UACGUAGGGGGCAAGCGUUGUCCGGAAUCAUUGGGCGUAAAGCGCGUGUAGGCGGUCCGGUAAGUCGGCUGUGAAAGUCCAGGGCUCAACCCUGGGAUGCCGGUCGAUACUGCCGGACUAGAGUUCGGAAGAGGCGAGUGGAAUUCCCGGUGUAGCGGUGAAAUGCGCAGAUAUCGGGAGGAACACCAAUGGCGAAGGCAGCUCGCUGGGACGUUACUGACGCUGAGACGCGAAAAGCG
rnacentral:rRNA from 1 species